GCCGCGAAGGCAACUGUUGGUUGGUUGCGCCAGGCUGUAAACCUGGAACUUCGGUCUCGGGGGUUCAAUUCCCUCUCGCGGUA
rnacentral:tRNA from 1 species